GACGAACGCUGGCGGCGUGCUUAACACAUGCAAGUCGAACGGAAAGGCCCUUCUUUGGUGGGGGGCUCGAGUGGCGAACGGGUGAGUAACACAUGAGUAACCGGCCCUUGACUUUGGGAUAACUUCAGGAAACUGGGGCUAAUACCGGAUAGGAGCUCCUGCGGCAUGGGGGGGGUUGGAAAGUUUCGGCGGUUGGGGUUGGACUCGCGGCUUAUCAGCUUGUGGGUGGGGUAGUGGAUUACCAAGGCUUUGACGGGUAGCCGGACUGAGAGGGUGACAGGCCACAGUGGGCCUGAGAUAGGGGCCAGAGUGCUAUGGGGGGCAGCAGUGGGGAAUAUUGCACAAUGGGGGGAAGUCUGAUGCAGCAACGCUGCGUGUGGGAUGCAGGUCUUCGGGUUGUAAACCGCUUUGGCCUGUGACGAAGCGUGAGUGACGGUACUGGGUAAAGAAGCACCGGCUAACUACGUG
rnacentral:rRNA from 1 species